GGCCUGGUGGUGUAAUGGUUAACACACAUGAAAUGAAUAACCGUGUAGAUUGGCUUCUUCACGAGUUCUCCGUUCGAUUCGGAGUCUGGCUG